GUACAUAGAUUUCAGAGCAUUAACCAACUUAAAACUCAAGAACAAAUAUUUUUGUUCCUUGAAUUUAAGGCUCUCUUAAAUCAUUUAUUGCCUUAAGUUAUUUUAUACAUUUCUCAUAAAUAUAUUUACUUUAUCAUCGGAGAGUCUUUAAAUCCCCUGAUUGGGACCUUUUUUUGCAGGUAUUCAAGCUUCUAUUAUUGGCCUGGAGUUCCUUAGAUUAAAAUGAAGAAAUAUAAGCACUUGAAUAUAUUAAUUAAUCAUCAUCCCAAACACUGAAUAAUCUUUUAGUUACA
rnacentral:lncRNA from 1 species